GCCUCAGUAACGGCGAGUGAAGCGGCAACAGCUCAAAUUUGAAAGCUGGCGUCACCGACGUCCGCGUUGUAAUUUGUAGAGGAUGCUUCGGCGAAGACUCCCGCCUAAGUCCCCUGGAACGGGGCGUCACAGAGGGUGAGAAUCCCGUACGUGGCGGGCGGUCUGAGCCGUGUGAAGCUCCUUCGACGAGUCGAGUUGUUUGGGAAUGCAGCUCUAAACGGGAGGUAAAUUUCUUCUAAAGCUAAAACUGGCCAGAGACCGAUAGCGCACAAGUAGAGUGAUCGAAAGAUGAAAAGCACUUUGGAAAGAGAGUUAAAAAGUACGUGAAAUUGUUGAAAGGGAAGCGCUUGCAACCAGACUCGCCCGCAGUUGCUCAGCCGGCCUCUUGGCCGGUGCACUCCUCUGCGGUCGGGCCAGCAUCGGUUCGGGCGGCCGGACAAAGGCGUCGGGAACGUAGCACCCUUCGGGGUGUGUUAUAGCCCGUCGCGGAAUGCGGCCAGCCUGGACCGAGGAUCUCGCUCCGGCAAGGAUGCUGGCGUAAUGGUUGUAAGCGGCCCGUCUUGAAACACGGACCAAGGAGUCUAACAUCUAUGCGAGUGCUCGGGUGUCAAACCCGUGCGCGUAAUGAAAGUGAACGGAGGUGGGAACCCUUCUCGGGGCGCACCAUCGACCGAUCCUGAUGUCUUCGGAUGGAUUUGAGUAAGAGCAUGGCUGUUGGGACCCGAAAGAUGGUGAACUAUGCCUGAAUAGGGUGAAGCCAGAGGAAACUCUGGUGGAGGCUCGCAGCGGUUCUGACGUGCAAAUCGAUCGUCAAAUUUGGGUAUAGGGGCGAAAGACUAAUCGAACCAUCUAGUAGCU
rnacentral:rRNA from 1 species